rnacentral:lncRNA from 1 species
CGAUUAAUUGUACCAAAAUUUAAGGUAAUUACCCUUUAACUUAGCUCCUUUCUUAUAUUAAGAUUUGUAUACUUACUUUAAUGGUGAAUUCCCACUCAAGUGGAUCCUCUUUCUCUUUAUUCCUAUAUACUGAUGGGUUGAAAGAGCUAGCUGCGUAAAGAUUUUUAUUAAUAUUAAAACAAAACCUCAACUGUGUAUAAGCAGAGUCUUGUACGUUUCAACUAUCAUUUAUACAAAUUGGGGCUAGAGUUCUUAUACAAAUUAGGGCUUGUUGAUAGAUUGUGGUUAAUUGAUUAAGCUGGGUGUUGAAUUUGAUUUGGGGAGAUUAUAAAAUAUGUAGAAUAUAAAAUAAGGAUAUUAGGUGGAAGGAAGUAUAAUCUAAAAAGGAUGGUUGAUAUUAAUAAUAAUAAUCUUGAGUGAGAGAAUAGAAUCGGAUUUGAUUUAUGAAUAUUUUGAUAAGUAAUUUAAUUCGGUUUAUUAAUUAAAAGAAUUAGUGAUUUUCAUUUAACUAAGUGAAUAUAUAAGAGCAUAAGGUAAAGUUUAGAAUAGAUUGAAUAAAUAAAUAAUCAUUCGGAUAGUAGGCAUAAGUGGCUAACUCAUGGAGAUUAAUCAUAUUUUAGGCUUUAAUUAUAUAAUAAGGUUGGUGAAUAACAAAUAAUUUGAGUUAGUAAGGGUUGUGAGCAUGUAGAAAAGACUCCAUUACAAGAUUAGCAAUUUAAAUCAUUAAUAAAUGAUUAAGUGAACAAGCUAGAGUAGCUGGGAUGUUGGUCAAAAGAGCAGAUGAUUAAUUGAGGAAUAAGCGUGAAUAAUUAAUAAUUAAUAUAUCUAUAAGAAUAAAGAGAUUAAAUAUAAUAUUUUAAUUGGUUUAAAAAUAGUUGUUGAUUAAAUUCUUGAUAUUAUAAUAAUGAUAGGUUAUUUUGGGAUUCUUAUUUUUGAGAUUUCUAAAUUAUUAUUUUGCGUAACGUAGAAUAUAAUGUCUGGAAAAGCGCGCGGAGCCAAUUUAUAAGUAUUAAAUUUGGAAACAUUUCAAGCUAAGGACACCAGGCAAGUUCACUAUCCCUCUCUUGACGUGAAGUAUUUCGUGCCUAUUUGAUAAUUGUGUGAAAAGUGUUGACUGUGAAGAUAUUACAUUUCGUACCAAUGUGAAUCGAGAAAAUAUCUCCGCUUCAUUUCGAAGGCUUUAAAGAUAUUGUUCAUAUAUUACUUAUAUAAUAAUCCGAGCCCUCCCAUUGUACAGGGAUGAGCUGAUCCUAAUAACGAUAACAUUUUGAAUCUUCAAAACUUGAGGUGAAUACAUUGCAGCGAUGAUCUCACCACAAUUAACUUACUCCCUUUUUGGAGAUCAUCUUAUUCUUUGGAAUCUUGUUCUUUUAAUUAUCCCUCACUUCUACCUUCGGGUAAUCUUUGUUGAAAGGGUGCAUUGUUCGCACUUCUUUGGUAGAGAUGAGAAGUGUUUGUUUGGGAGAAUUUCCUUGUAUUCGGAGGAAUCUGUUCAAGCUGGUCAACACGAAUUUAUUAAAUUCGUGGUAGAGUUGAAUUUACUAUCUGGUAAGGCAGAUAGUUUAGGGUUACAAAUGUUAACCCUUAUGCUAGCAAAUGAGAGUGGUAGGUGUGUCUUGUGCGGUUACGAUCAGACUGCAAAGAUCACACAGGAGAACGGUAUUCACGAAAUGGUGCUGAUCGAGCCAUGUAGUGUUACCGAGAGGUGGAAGACCAGCGUUUUCUUUACUUGAACUUGUUUUGUCAUUUGAUGGUAGCUGCUUUGUUGCUUUAACUUGAAUUGUUUUCUAUGCCUUACGUGCAUAUUCUGUUGAUUGUUUUUUUGUUCUAUGUGGACUUGCUGAGCAAUUUGAUUGCUCAUUCUUGCAUCUAUUUUAUUCCUUUUUGAGCAGUAAAUAGUGAGUAUGGCACAACUCAAGGGAACCGCCUGGAAAUGGGUUUUUGACAAAAGCAGGGAAAAGGCGCAUCACCCAAGCUGAGACUGCUAGACUACGCCACUUGGUAGUACGAUCUAUAGUUAUUAUAAUAGUCUGAUAUCAGACUUCCCUUUAUGUAAUAAAGUUAGACUCGGUAGUAAUGUUGUAAGACGAUCGACCCUGGACUUGUGGGGCAAGAGUUGGUUGUAUAAUAUUAAUAUGUAAUACAAGUGUUGUUUUGAGCCAGAUGUUUAGUGACGGACCAGAUCUGCGG